CACGUAGGCGGACUGGAAAGUUGGGGUGAAAUCCCGGGGCUCAACCCCGGAACUGCCUCCAAAACUUCCAAUCUAGAGAUCGAGAGAGGUAAGUGGAAUUCCUAGUGUAGAGGUGAAAUUCGUAGAUAUUAGGAGGAACACCAGUGGCGAAGGCGGCUUACUAGCUCGAUACUGACGCUGAGGUGCGAAAGCGUGGGGAGCAAACA
rnacentral:rRNA from 1 species